AAAUCGUAACAAGGUUUCUGUAGGUGAACCUGCAGAAGGAUCAUUAGUGAAGAUUUGGGCAGGCCAUACGGACGCCAAAAAGUGUCCCUGGCCGCCUACACCCACUAUACAUCCACAAACCCGUGUGCACUGUCUUGGAGAAAGGCUUCAGAGAAGUUUUUUGUGGCCUCUCUUGGGGUCUUUCUUCGCUACAAACUCGAAUGGUUAGUAUGAACGUGGAACUUGGUUGGACCGUCACUGGCCAACAAACUAUACACAACUUUCGACAACGGAUCUCUUGGUUCUCCCAUCGAUGAAGAACGCAGCGAAACGCGAUAGGUAAUGUGAAUUGCAGAAUUCCGUGAAUCAUCGAAUCUUUGAACGCACCUUGCGCUCUAUGGCAAUCCGUAGAGCAUGCCUGUUUGAGUGCCAUGAAAUCUCCCACCCCAAGCGGUUUUUAAAUGAAACGGCUUGGCGGAUGGGGUCUGGAUGGGUGCCUCUGCCUGCGCUACCUAGCACAGGCUCGCCCGAAAUGCAUGAGCGCCUUGAGACACUUUGCAUCCGCCUCUCUGUUUGGGAGGAGGCGGCCAAGCAGUGUUUUUUCUCCUGGCAUGGCAUGAUACGUCAUUUGCUAUGUCGCCUAAAGGAGGAAUGUUUGGUUGUGUCUGCGUGUGCUUCGAACUUGCCUCUGUGGCACAUCCCAAUUUCACUUCUGGUCUCAAAUCAGGUAGGAUCACCCGCUGAACUUAAGCAUAUC
rnacentral:rRNA from 1 species